GAUUAUGCGAGUCAUUUUUCCGUGAUAUUCAUGAAAUCAAGGUACAAGUUGGAAUUGACGGGUGUCCCCUCUCUGAUAAUCGCACAAUUUGGCCAAUAAUGGGGAGAUUUCUUCAUCAACCAAAUUACUCCCCAUUUUUGAUAGGAAUUUAUGAAGGACAAAAGGAUCCUAAAGAUGCAACGGAGUUUCUAGAAGACUUGACUAAUGAAAUAAAUUACCUCAAUAAAAAUGGUGUCUUCACAAAGGAUGGAAAACAUUUUCAUUUUCAAAUCACAUCUUACAUUAUGGACUCCAAGGCACGAGCUUCAAUUACAGGUGUGAAAGGACAUACAUCUCAUAAGGGAUGUGGAAGAUGUGAACAACACGGGAUAUCCAUACAGCGAAGAGUCGUUUUUUCCCAAACAUGUGGUCAACUCCGCACAGACGACUCAUUUGCACAAAGAAGAGAUUCCUAUCAUCAUAACGAGGAGUAUCCGUAUGGGCUAGAACUUGCUAAUGUAAAGAUGAUAUCUCAGGUGCCACUUUGCAGCAUGCACUUGAUAUACUUGGGUAUCGUACGUACCCUUGGGGUGCUGUGGAUGACAGCUAAAAGCAAAACAUUUACAUUAAGUCCUCAGAAAAGGAAGGAACUUGACAAAAAACAUAUGUCUCUUACUCCUUUUUUGCCCACAGAAUUUUCACGAAAGCCAGAUAGCCUAUAUUUUGUUCACAAAUGGAAGGCAACUCAGUGUCGCCAGUUUCUGUUGUACACUGGGCCUGUCGUGCUCAAAAAUAUAUUACCAGAAUCCCAAUACCACCACUUCUUGCUGCUCUCUGCAGCAUGCAGGAUACUUACAUCUAACAAAUUGACUCAAAGCCAAGAGUGGAUAGCAGCAGCAGAGCAGUUGUUGGAAAUAUUUGUUGGUCAGUAUUCUAACAUGUAUGGAGAAGAUCAGAUAACUUAUAAUGUGCACAACCUUCUCCAUGUAGGAGACUGUGCUCGACUUCACGGAUCACUCGAAAAUUUCUCGGCCUUUCCUUUCGAGAAUUUUCUGCAGACGCUUAAAAAUAAUGUGGACCACCGAUCUCAAGCUAUUCCUCAAAUAAUAAAUAGACUCAAGGAAGAAAAGCAGUUACCCGAAGUUAAUAAGGAGAUCUCAAGUUAUUCUGAUAAAAAAAUACUUAAAAAGCCUAUAUUAGGAGCGUCAUUCCUAUAUCAGUCUUGUAAGUUCGAUGAACUGAUCUUUGAUGCUAGGGAUGCAAAUAAGUAUUGCUUGACAAAAGAUCGGGAUAUUGUUGAAAUUGUUGGUUUUGGUUGCUUGAAUGGCAUAGAUGGAUUUAUUGGGAAAAAAUUACCCACAAAAGGAAAUUUUUUCAAUUUUCCCUUUGAGUCUCAGUCCUUGGAUAUUUUUUUAGUUAGUUCUGCCCAAGAGGAUAUAUUUUUCUUUGGUCAAACUCAAAUGCAAACAAAGAUUAUUAAAAUUCCUCUCAACACCACUGAUAGUGUUUGCUUACCCUACAUUCAUUAAUUAUUAUUCAAUCCUCAUUUUUAUCAAAACUUCUCAUUAGCUACGCCUACUACCGAAAGCGCAUCACGGUGCUGUGAUCUUAAGGGAAUAUUGACAGAGAUUAAAAAUACUCAAAUAGAGCAAGGAAAGACACUUAAAGAACAAGCUAAAACACAAGAAGAGCAAAAUAAAUUGCUUUCCUACAUCAAGAUGUGCAUAGGCAAACGUGAAAUAUAACAACGGUUGAUCAACAAAAUAAGAAGCGGUUUCCCCAUCAGUAGCAUGAAAGAUUUGGCGAAUUUUGAGAGGAAACUCAUUAUACAAGAUUGGAAGGAAGCUUUCCAAAGUAUCGCCAAAGAAAAUCUAAAGUUGAAAGAAUUUCUGACCGACGAAGUCAUAUUUCAAACAAAUUUGUCUGGAGCCAACAAAAAAGUUCAGAUGCGUGGACUUCGCUUCUAUAAACUAUGGAAAGAAGCAUCCAAUAAUUCAGCGACCAGAUUUGACAAUUUUAUAAGAAGGGAAAUAGAAAAAGCGAAGAACCGGGUGUAUGUGAAGAAUUCAAAGAAUAAGAAGAAGGAACAAAUUUGUCAGGUCCCUCAGGAGGAUGAUACGUCAGACGAGGACCUUCCUGAGCAAAACGCACCACAGGAGGAAACUUUUGAAAUAGAAGUGUUCUCUUCUCCAAAACCUGAGAAUGAGAUGACCGACGCCGAGUCAGAUGAUGUGCAGUCUGAUAGUCCAUUUGAAGAAUAAUUAUGAGUUAAAGUCUUUAUUAAACCGUUCCUUGCAUCCUGCUUACGAAA